rnacentral:rRNA from 1 species
UCGAGGGGUAUAGGUUUUCGGACCUGGAGACCGGCGCACGGGUGCGUAACGCGUAUGCAAUCUACCUUUUACAGAGGGAUAGCCCAGAGAAAUUUGGAUUAAUACCUCAUAGUAUUAUUGAAUGGCAUCAUUUAAUAAUUAAAGUUCCAACGGUAAAAGAUGAGCAUGCGUCCCAUUAGCUUGUUGGUAAGGUAACGGCUUACCAAGGCAACGAUGGGUAGGGGUCCUGAGAGGGAGAUCCCCCACACUGGUACUGAGACACGGACCAGACUCCUACGGGAGGCAGCAGUGAGGAAUAUUGGUCAAUGGGCGCAAGCCUGAACCAGCCAUGCCGCGUGCAGGAUGAAGCAUCUAUGGUGUGUAAACUGCUUUUGUACGAGAAGAAACACUCCUUCGUGAAGGAGCUUGACGGUAUCGUAAGAAUAAGGACCGGCUAACUCCGUGCCAGCAGCCGCGGUAAUACGGAGGGUCCAAGCGUUAUCCGGAAUCAUUGGGUUUAAAGGGUCCGUAGGCGGUUUUGUAAGUCAGUGGUGAAAGCCCAUCGCUCAACGGUGGAACGGCCAUUGAUACUGCAAGACUUGAAUUAUUGGGAA